GAAAACAAAUAAAUGAAAGGCAAAAAGUUCCCCUUAUACUUUUUGGGUAUAUUAGGGCAAUAGAAAUGCCAAAUCAUUUAUUCUAUCUUCUUUGGCAUUCGAUGUUCCUUUCUCUGGUCCGAGACUUGGCACCGCUUUGAGGGUUUGACAUGGGGUUCUCUAUGAGAUUUUUUUGUAGGUCGACAUUCAUCUACAGGUCGCAUCUGAUGCAGGCACCUAGGAGAAGCACAUAGAAAGCAACAGUUGGAUGCAAGUUGGAUGGAAGACUAAAGAUGAUACAAGGCAAUUGAACCGAGACUCGUCAUUUAGGCAAUGACGAGUCACCCUUCUUUAUAUGUGCAUUCAUUUUUCCUUGCAUCUACAAAUGUAUAAUGUUUUCUUUUAUUUGCAUUAUAAGAGUUCGGCUUGUGUGAGACAUUAUCCAUUUAUGUUAUCAAUAAAUAUUACUCUUUUUUCAAAAA